rnacentral:rRNA from 1 species
UACGUAGGGGGCAAGCGUUGUCCGGAAUCAUUGGGCGUAAAGAGCGUGUAGGCGGCUCGAUAAGUCCGCUCUGAAAGCCCGGGGCUCAACCCCGGGAGGCGGGCGGAUACUGUCGAGCUAGAGUCCGGAAGAGGCGAGUGGAAUUCCUGGUGUAGCGGUGAAAGUGCGCAGAUAUCAGGAGGAACACCAAUGGCGAAGGCAGCUCGCUGGGACGGUACUGACGCUGAGACGCGAAAGCGUGGGGAGCAAACAGG